UUGUUGAAUUUUUCAAACAUCGAGAUCAAAUCUGAUCUGAUCUACCUUUUUCAUAAUUUUCCUCCCUUAAGCUUCAUUUCAAUUUGAGGUUGCAAAUAGUUCUUAUUAGCAUGCACUGGUUACUGAAGUUUGUUCAAAUGAAAACAUCGUUCUACAUUGAUCCAUUGAUAAUUAUUCUGCGAUUAAUAGAAGAGACAGUGAUGAGAGUCCUCUACUUAAUUUUUUGAAGUGCAGUACUGUAUGUCAGAUGUUACCUUUAUCUUGAAUCAGUUGCUAAUUUGCUAUUGAUAUAUUGUUUACUCUGUUUGGAUGGGGUGAUUUGUUGAGAAAUGAUGACAAAGAGAACUUUUUUCCAUGUUUGGUUUAUAAGUUGAGUGAGAAACGGUUAGAAAGAGAACUCCCUUACUAAGUCUAUUUCGUAAGAGAACUUUUUUCGUAACAGAAAUGAUGACAAAGAGAACUUUUUUCAAUGUUUCACUUUUAGCCUUGUGAUUCCAACCAAGCAUCAAGCUUUCAUUAACUUUAUUUUUUUUAAAAAGAAAAUUAAGAUUUCGUUCUUGUUACUACUAGCCAUUUAAAAUUUUCAUCCAUUUAACAUGCAAUGUUUUCAGCAUCUUAAGCACAUAUAUGUACAGAAAAAAGAAAAAAGAAGCUUCAGAUAGUAUUAGAAUUGCUACCUAAUUUGCUACUUUAAUUACAGUUCUACGCUCUGUCUUGGCUGGUCAUUGUUGAUGCAAUGAUCAUCUUGAAGAUUGUGUCCAUGGGUAGGAAGAAGUUCAGUGCAGAUUUCCAGCUGAUGUUCAGACUUCUCAAGCUGUUCCAGUUUAUUGGAUCCGUGGUCACUGUUGUCAUUUUGUGAAGCAAUCUCUGGAGGAAAAUUGGUGAUUGAUGUUGCAUAUUUUGGAUUCCACAUCUACAGUGAGACUGAUGAACUCUGCGGGAAGACAUCUUGCUCCAUUUCUGCUGGUGAUUUUUUAAUUUCUCACUCUCAGGAUUUACCUGGGUUCACUCCACCAGUAAGUCAACUUAUAAUUUAAUUGUUGCAAUGAUAUUGUGCAUUAACAUACUAUGUGUUUAUUUCAUGUUUAGAACAACCCAUGUCCAAUUGGUGGCUUUCGUUUGUGGUUUGGAAUCAAUCAAGGACACAGCUUGCAAUCUCAUCUGGAACGCAUUAAUAAAAAGCAAUUUUUUUUUCUAAUUUCUUAGCCUCUCUCUUU